AGCCUGUUUUUUUUCCACAGAUAUAUCCUCCUGUCUUUUCCUGAAACAUGUGAAUAGCCAGUCUCCAGACUCAGCACAGAGCCUUUCUUCAGACAAUCCUAUCUGAGUUGGGUCCACAAGGAAGGAGAAGGCAAUCCAGAAGCAUUUAACAUGCCAGAUCUGAAUUGUCCAAAGUAUCUGCUGGAGUAUGGCCUCUGAACCCAUAUCUCUUGGUGACCUAAACUGUUGUAUGGCAAAUCCUGACUUGAUCGAAUUGGCAACAGAGUCUCAAGAAUUCUUUAAGUACCAACAACCACUGAUUUCAGUAUCAGCUUGCCUGCGUGACCUUUAAGGGUUAUAGGAACACCUUUUAUGCCUCCUUUCUCUUAUUACUAGGAGAAGAUUUCAAUCAUUACACAUCUUUAUAAACCACCUGGAGAUGCAUGUGAGACAUAAAUGCAAAAGUAAUAUUAUUGGUAUCAUAUUAUUAUUUUUCCCAAGGAAAUCGCUGUUUUCCACAUAGCAGAGCACAUGACUUCUUGUUUAUUGUGUAUUAAUAGCCUUGUGUUGUGAUGGUAAGUAGGACACAGAUACAGCUUUUCAGUGAUGUACAGUACUCUUUCUUAUCUUUAAUUAAAUGCUAUUCCCUUGUACUGGAACGUAUUCUGUGAUUACACAUGUUUACAGUCUCUAAGUAACUUACCAUCAAAUACACUAAUGAAAAUCAGUGCCCCAAAGUGACUUGUGUGUUUUGUCUUGUACUAACCAACACCUCUCUCAUAUUUUAUUUUAUUUUUUAAAUUAUUAGUUCCAGUUUCCAUUUUAAAAAUUAAGGGGUUGCAUUAAACACUUUCAUAUGAAUUUCCUCCAACCAUCUCUGCUUUUGAUCUAGGGACAUGUAUCUAUCUAGCUUUCUGCCCUUCCCCAGAACAGUAACCCCUGGGGAUACCAUAGAGCAUAGAGAUGAUACAAUUUAAUAAAGUCACAAUAAAACAUCCAA